UUUAGGGAUUGUUUUGUUCUACAGGAGAAGGACACUGAAAAUUUGCAUUUGAGAAUCUUCAUGCUCUCUGAGAAGUUACUUCCAGACUGCUCAACUUUUAUCAAACGCCUGUGGUUAUAAAAAGAGCAGGGAACAGCAUUCAUAUCUGAAUUUCUCAGCUGUAGGCUCAGCUGACAUUGAAGUCAAUGUUGUGCCUGAAGUACUAAGCUGCCUUCUUGUCUCCCACAAUGGCUUGAUAUGUCCCCUUUAAUGUAUGUUAGAAUUAACACUAGCAUUAUUUAAGGGAGGUUGU
rnacentral:lncRNA from 1 species